GUGGGGAAGGCUGGUGGUGGGUUUAGAAGGAGCUUGGUGGGUGGUGGGAUUACUUGACAGCGAUGGUGACGAGGUGGAGGCGGGUUGGGGUUUACGUUUGUUGGAGGAAGGAGAAGGAACCAGGACAGGUUCCGGGAUUAUAGAAGAUUUAAUGGCAAACUCAUUUUCUUUAUUUAUGGAAGUGGAAGCUGGAGAGGCGUUGGUGUAGGAGUCCACAGCGUAGGC
rnacentral:lncRNA from 1 species